rnacentral:rRNA from 1 species
CCUACGGGGGGCAGCAGUGAGGAAUAUUGGUCAAUGGCCGGAAGGCUGAACCAGCCAAGCCGCGUGAGGGAGGAAGGCGCGGAGCGUCGCAGACCUCUUUUGCCGGGGGACAAAAGGCCGGACGGGUCCGGUUCUGAGGGUACCCGGAGAAAAAGCAUCGGCUAACUCCGUGCCAGCCGCCGCGGUACUACGGGGGAUGCGAGCGUUAUCCGGAUUCAUGGGGUUUAAGGGGAGCGCAGGCGGGCCUUUAAGCCGGCGGUGAAAUCGCGGGGCUCAACCCCGCCGAGCCGUCGGAACUGGGGGCCUUGAGUGCGGCGGAGGCAUGCGGAAUGCGCGGUGUAGCGGUGAAAUGCAUAGAUAGCGCGCAGAACCCCGAUGGCGAAGGCAGCGUGCCGUGCCGCCACUGACGCUGAGGCACGAAAGCGCGGGGAUCGAACAGGAUUAGAUACCCGGGUAGUC